rnacentral:rRNA from 1 species
GAUGAACGCUGGCGGUGUGCCUAACACAUGCAAGUCGAACGGCAAGACCGUGAGAGCGUGCUCUUCCCGGUGGCGGGUGGCGGACGAGUGAGGUGUGCAUCGGAAUCUUCUUUUUCGUGGAGGAUAACGUAGGUAAAGUUACGCUAAUACCGCAUACGACCUACCGGUGAGAGCAGUGGAUCGUCGCGCCUUUCGCGAUUGGAUUAGCCGAUGUCGGGCUAGCUGGUUGGGGGGGUAAAGGCCCACCAAGGCGACGAUACGUGGCCGGUCUGAGAGGAUGGUCAGCCACACGGGAACUGAGACACGGUCAAGACUCCUACGGGAGGCAGCAGUGGGGAAUAUUGGACAAUGGGCGGAAGCCUGAUCCAGCGAUACCGCGUGGGUGAAGAAGGCCUUCGGGUUGUAAAGCCCGUUUGUUGGGAAAGAACAGCUGUAGGUUAAGACGCAGCGGUUCUGACGGUACCGAAUGAAGAAGCACCGGCUAACUACGUG